UACGUAGGGUGCGAGCGUUAAUCGGAAUUAUUGGGCGUAAAGCGUGCGUAGGCGGCUGCGCAAGUCGGGUGUGAAACCCCGGGGCUCAACCCCGGAACUGCAUCCGAUACUGCGUGGCUAGAGGUAGGUAGGGGAGAUCGGAAUUCCUGGUGUAGCGGUGAAAUGCGCAGAUAUCAGGAGGAACACCGGUGGCGAAGGCGGAUCUCUGGGCCUUACCUGACGCUCAGGCACGAAAGCUAGGGGAGCGAACAGG
rnacentral:rRNA from 1 species